rnacentral:lncRNA from 1 species
GUUCUGUGAUUGUCAGCUGCGCUGGUUGUUGUCGUGGAUCAGAUCUCAGGCGGUGCGUGUGGGGAAUGAAUCCGUAUGCGUGUAUCCGGCUCGUCUUCAUGGACUGGAGCUGCGCAGUCUUCAGGAGCAGCAGUUCACCUGCGACGGCCCGCUGGAGCUCCCCGUCUUGCAGCUCAUCCCGACCCAGCGGCAGCUGGUGUUUCGCGGGGACCGUCUGCCGCUUCAGUGCACCGCCUCGUACCUCGACCCAUCUGUCAGACUGUCCUGGAGCCACGAGCAGCGUCCCGUCCACACGCUGGAGGACAGAGGGCUGUUCGUGGAGGACAGCAUCAUUCACGACUGCUGCCUCAUUACCAGCGAGCUCAUCCUGUCCAACAUCGAUGCCGGC